CAGUAGAGAGAAUAAGAUAGAAUUGUAAUAGAAAAAAAACUGAUGGUCAUUCUGUUUGAGAUAACUAAAAAACACUUGGAAACGAAACAUCGACGACGUGAAUGACACAAUCAGAAUGGAAAAGCGACGUUCAACAAUUUGGAUUUUACGUUUCUUUCAUCUUGCGAUUUUCUUUAAUUUAGUGACCGCUAAAAGUGAAUAUACGAAACUGUUCGAACGGUGCACGAAAGAGAAGAACACCUUCGAUUGCUUCAAACGACGCGCCUUGGAAAUACUUACAAUAGCGACUCAAGAUAACUCUGUAUAUAAGAUCAAUGACUACAUUUCCAUUACCAAAGAUGUAGCAUCAACCGCGAGAAAUUACAACUCGAUGACAUCUGAAAAUGAUACAAAAUUAAGUCUUGAUGAGAAAUUAGAUAAUAAAUUUUACGAAUAUAUAUCAUCGAGAAGCGUGAAGUUAACAAUACCAGGCAAUGCUUUUGAAGGCAGAAAAAAGAAGGGCCGUUUUGGAUAUAUAAUAGUAGCAGGAGCAGUAUUAGCAGGUAUGAUGGCGCAAUUAGCUUAUGGAAAAAUAGCUUUCCUCGCCGGUACAGCCUUGUUGACAGCGAAAAUGGCCUUAGUUUUAAGCGCGAUAGUUGGCUUGAAAAAGCUUUUCUCAAGCGGAGGAGGUGGUCAUGAAGUAAUUUAUGCGACAGCAUCCGAACAUGGAGGAGGCGGUGGCGGUGGUGGAUACGGUGGCUGGCAACGAGCAAUGGAAGUUGUUCCACCAACUUGAAUUAUAUUUGACAUUAUAUCACAAACUCAAAAUUUUAUGAUAUAGUUACCGAAUGUAGUACGU